AGGUAACAAAGCCACUAGCUUUUCCUCGUUUUGGAGCUUUGAACAAAGAGAGGCGUGUAGUGCUUGCCUCAGGCCCUCAGUUGCAGAUAUUGCAGUUGGACAAGGUAACAAAGCUAGUGGGUUUUCCUCGUUUUGGAGCUUUGAACAAAGAGAAGUACCAGUGCUUGCCUCAGUUGCAGAAAUUGCAGUUGAACAAGGAUAAAUCGAGAAGCGUGAAUGACGGGCAGAGCCCAACAUCCUUUGGUUGCGCGUCCCAUUUGGAGGAAAAAAUCCUACAAAUAUGUCAUACCCGGUGAUCGAACCGUAAGUACUUGGAUGAUAAUCUAAAUGUCCUAUCGUGAUAUCAUAGCCCUAGGAAUAUUA